GCCACCGUGGAUUAAUGGGAGAUCGCCCUCAUCAUAUGAGACUUCUUGCAUUCGAGAGGAAGAGGGGGGUUCGACUCCCGCCGGUGGCA